rnacentral:lncRNA from 1 species
GAUGAGGCUAGCAAAAAAACAAUGUUGUAUGGGCCAAAUGCAUAACAUAAAACAAUAAAAUAAAAUAAAAAACACGGUAGAGAAUAAAACAGGGGGCGCAUAGAUAGCAAGGCCCAACAUGGCCUAAUAUGAUGGCAAAAGGCCCAAGUCAACAGAAAUAGGGAGUCAGAGAAAUUGAAUCUACCUCAACCAUCUGAUGCAUGAUCCAAAGGAUCCAAGAGUGACAGAAAGAAGGGCGCACGGUAACAGGUGGGGAUCCCCACAUGGGACCCCAGGUCAACCUAGGAAAGUAAACAAAUCAGGUGGCUAUGAGCAUGGCCACGUGUCUGAGAUAGGAACAAAGGGUGAGGGAUCAAAAGAAGAAAAAUCUCACAUGGAGGCUCAUUUCCUCACUUCCCUUCUCUCUCUAGCCUCAGACCUUCUCUCACUUCCUUCAUCCAAUCACCAUAUAUAAAUAAGGAAAUUACAAAGUUGAGGGACAAAGUGAAGAGUCUAAAGUAGGCAGUUGCAUAUGGAGCCAUUACCAGGAAUAACUUGGAAGCUAAUUUAUAGGAAUCAAUGGUGGAUGUCGUUGUCUCUAUGGAGGAAGGUUUUUAGAAUGCCAAAGAGCAGGUGGUGUUCUUCUCCCUUAAUAUUACUUUAGUCCCUUCUUCAAGAUAGUGGAGGAUGGAAAAUUGGUGGGAGUGGUGGAAGAGGAGGGAGAAGUGGAAGAGUCAGUUUUGCCUUCCCAAAACAAGUAAAGGGUUGUAGGUUGUUUAUUUUCAUAUUUUCUUAUGCAUUUAUUGUUCAUGUGUUGCAUGGUUUCCCUGUUUGUAAAUGCACUUUUAUGGAUAAUAUUAAUGAAACCAUUUUUUCCAAUUUAUGUUUUAUUAUUUUAUUGCAUGUUGUCUUUAAUGUUUCUUAACAUGCGUU